rnacentral:rRNA from 1 species
GCGGCCACUGCUAUCAAGUUCCGACUAAGCCAUGCGAGUCAAGGUAUCGUAAGAUGCCGGCAAACUGCUCAGUAACACGUGGAUAAUCUAACCUUGAGUAAGGGAUAACUUCGGGAAACUGAAGGUAAUACCUUAUAAUUGCUUAAAACUGGAAUGUUUUUGCAAUAAAAGUUACGACGCUCAAGGAUGAGUCUGCGACCUAUCAGGUAGUAGGUGGUGUAAUGGACCACCUAGCCUCAGACGGGUACGGGCCCUGGGAGGGGUAGCCCGGAGAUGGACUCUGAGACAUAAGUCCAGGCCCUACGGGGCGCAGCAGGCGCGAACACUGUGCAAUGCGCGAAAGCGCGACACGGGGAGCUUGAGUGUCUUGGCAUAGCCAAGACUUUUCUCAUUCCUAAAAAGCAUGAGGAAUAAGUGCUGGGUAAGACGGGUGCCAGCCGCCGCGGUAACACCCGCAGCACGAGUAGUGGUCACUUUUAUUGAGCCUAAAGCGUUCGUAGCCGAUUUUGUAAAUCUUCAGAUAAAGCCUGAAGCUUAACUCCAGAAAGUCUGAAGAGACUGCAAGACUUGAGAUCGGGUGAGGUUAAACGUACUUUCAGGGUAGGGGUAAAAUCCUGUAAUCCCGGAAGGACGACCAGUGGCGAAGGCGUUCAACUAGAACGGAUCCGACGGUGAGGAACGAAGGCUAGGGUAGCAAACCGGAUUAGAUACCCGGGUAGUCCUAGCUGUAAACAUUGCCCAUUUGAUGUUGCUUUUCCGUUGAGGGAAGGCAGUGUCGGAGCGAAGGUGUUAAAUGGGCCGCUUGGGAAGUAUGGUCGCAAGACUGAAACUUAA